rnacentral:rRNA from 1 species
AGCAGCCGCGGUAAUUCCAGCUCCAAUAGCGUAUAUUAAAGUUGUUGCAGUUAAAAAGCUCGUAGUUGAACUUCGGGGUUCACCCAUUGGUCAGGCUUAAUUGUCUGUACUGGUGAGAUGAGUCUCUACCUUCUGAGGAACUUUCAUGCCAUUUAUUUGGUGUGAUGGGAAAUCAGGACUGUUACUUUGAAAAAAUUAGAGUGUUUAAAGCAGGCUAACGUCUGAAUACAUUAGCAUGGAAUAAUGAAAUAGGACGGAUUGAUUCUAUUUCGUUGGUUUCUAGGGUCACCGUAAUGAUUAAUAGGGAUAGUUGGGGGCAUUAGUAUUCAAUUGUCAGAGGUGACAUUCUUGGAUUUAUUGAAGACUAACUACUGCGAAAGCAUUUGCCAAGGAUGUUUUCAUUAAUCAAGAACGAAAGUUAGGGGAUCGAAGACGAUCAGAUACCGUCGUAGUCUUAACCAUAAACUAUGCCGACUAGGGAUCGGACGAAGUUAAUUUUAUAAUGACGCGUUCGGCACCUUACG